AACGCGAAGAACCUUACCCAGGCUUGACAUGCAGUAGACGAUGCUAGAAAUAGCAUUUCCCUUCGGGGCUGCUGCACAGGUGCUGCAUGGCUGUCGUCAGCUCGUGCCGUGAGGUGUUUGGUUAAGUCCAGCAACGAGCGCAACCCUUAUCGUUAGUUGCCAUCAUUCAGUUGGGCACUCUAAUGAGACUGCCCGGGUUAACCGGGAGGAAGGUGAGGAUGACGUCAAGUCCGCAUGGCCCUUAUGUCUGGGGCUACACACGUGCUACAAUGGUCGGUACAGAAGGCAGCCAAACCGCGAGGUGGAGCAAAAUCCUCAAAGCCGGCCUCAGUUCAGAUUGUAGUCUGCAACUCGACUACAUGAAGACGGAAUUGCUAGUAAUGGCAGGUCAGCACACUGCCGUGAAUACGUUCCCGGGCCUUGUACACACCGAGACGAC
rnacentral:rRNA from 1 species